rnacentral:lncRNA from 1 species
UUUUUUUUUUUUUUUUUUUCUGAGAUGGAGUCUCGCUCUGUCACCCAGGCUGGAGUGCAGUGGUACAAUCUCAGCUCACUGCAGCCUCUGCCCUCUGGGUUCAAGAAAUUCUCCUGCCCCAGCCUCCCGAGCAGCUGGGAUUACAGGCAUCCACCACCACACCCAGCUAAUUUUUUGUAUUUUUAGGAGAGAUGGGGUUUCGCCAUGUUGGCCAGGCUGGUCUUGAACUUCUGACCUCAGGUGAUCUACCCGCCUCAGCCUCCCAAAGUGCUGGGAUUACAGGUGUAAGCCACCACGGCUGGCCUCUAAAUUCUAAUUAUUGAGCACACUAUUAUUGUCUAUUGAUCAGUCUGGUUUUCCAUAUAUUCAUCUUAUUAUAUUUAAGGACUCUAAGUUUCUUGAGGGCAACUAUCAGGUCCUUCUUACUCAUUUAUUCAUUCAACUAACCUUUAGUAAAUGUCUACUGCUGCCAGGCCCUGUGUUAAACAUCAGGAAUGUAAAAAAUAAAAACAAACAGUUCUCAAAGGAUUUAGAGUCUCUCCUUUUUAAGUCUAUCUUAAUUAUCUGGUACUCAUUACAAUGCCUAAAGUUAAUACAUAAUGAUUAAUCAACUGUUUGCCAAUUAACUGAACAAAAACAUCUUUAAAUUUUAAAAUACAUAACAACUAUAUUCUGUAGUUUAGAUCCCUUUUCAAAAGAAGAGCUAUGUGGUUAUAUAGUUUUUACAGUUAAGACAUUUGCAAAACAAAAAAUGUGCUUGAUUUGCUAACUGGAAGAGAUAAGUCACUGUAAAAUUCAUGGUCUUCAAUGUUUUUCUUCAAUCUAAAGACUGGACAUCACUGAUUUCACAAAAUACAGUUGUAAAUUAUUGUAUCAUACCUUAAAUCUCCAAACUUCUAUAUUGAAAAGUCAAAGCUUUUAAGUUUUUUCUGCUCACAAUCAAAUAAGAUCUGUACUUUAAUUCCCAAAAAUUUUAGUCCAGUGAGGAUUGUGAUCAGUCCACCUUAAGAUCAAUGAUAACCAUUUUCUCUGUGGCUGUUUAGUGAAAAAAUAUCUUCUAGUGAGGAGAUGCAACAGUCUAACACAUAACAUUUGCCAUUUUCAAAGAGGUACUCCUCACUACAUCCCUGAAAAAAGAGAUAAAUGAUAUUGACAUUUUGCAGAAGUAGAUCGUAAAUUCUUCAAAAGAAUUUUUUAGGGACAGAGACCCAUAAUUUCAGAGUUGUGGCUACAAUUCAUUUUGAAAUUUUAGCCAAAGCAGUUUAAGAUCCCAUUUCCCUCUGAAAACAUAAAAUGGCAGUAAGGUUUAUCUACAUUACUAUGGUUUCAUUAUCCUCAUUCAAGCUACAAAUCUUUAAACAUAAGACUAUUUUAGUUUAUUUCAUCAAUCACAAGAAUCCUAAAUGCCUAAAUAACUCAGUGGUCAGGGAUUAACUGUAACAGUGAUAUACUGUCCCUGUAACCAUCACUGUUAAAGACUAAUCAAGUAUUCAUGUCCUACUUCUAUCAGGAGUGUGCCUCUAUCAUUUGUAUCAGUAGCAAAGCUAAUAUAAAAAAUUACCUCCAAUGUUACUUUACUCUACAAAAAACUAUAAAAAGAGAAAAAUGAAACAUUAAAAAGUAUCAUAAAUUCUGUUUUAUAGUAUAAUGACAUAAAUGCGAAGGUUUAAUAGACUAGUACUGCAGCAAAACAUUUGAUAAGUCUUGACAGAAUUUUAUCUACUGUUCCAGAAUUUAAAAAUAAAAAUUAAAAACUAGAAAAAAAUUUGAAUGGAAUUAUUUUAAGUGAUUUCUAAGGACUCACAUAAACUUAAGGCAAAGAGGGUAGAAAAAGAUAUUCCAUGCAAAUGGACACUAAAAGCAAGCAGGAGCAACUAUUCUUGUAUCAGACAAAGUAAACUCUAAAGCAAUAGCAGUUUUAAAAGACAAACAGGGACAUUAUUACAUUUUAUUACAAUGAUAAAAGGACUAGUUCAACAGGAAAAUAUCACAAUUCUAAAUGUAUAUGCACCUAACACUGGAGCCCCCAAAUUUAUAAAACAAUUACUACUAGACCUAAUAAAUGAGAUAGACAGCAACACAAUAAUAGUGAGGGACUUUACUAGUCCAGGAGAUUGAUAAAUUCCUGGAAAUAUACAACCCUCCUAGAUUAAAGCAGGAAGAUAUAGAAUCUCGGGACAGACCAAUAACAAGCAGCAAGAUUGAAAUGGUAAUUUUAAAAUUGCAAACAAAAAAAAGUCCAGGACCAGGUGGAUUCACAACUAAAUUCUAAAUUCAAAGAAGAAUUGGUACCAAUCCUAUUGACACUAUUCCAAAUGAUAGAGAAAGAGGGAAUCCUUCCUAAAUCAUUCUAUGAAGCCAGUAUAACCCUAAUACCAAAACCGGGGAAGGACAUAGCAGAAAAAAAAGAAGAAGAAGAAAGAAAGAAAACUACAGACCAAUAUCCCUGACGAAAAUAGAUGCAAAAAUCCUCAACAAAAUACUAGCGAACCAAAUCCAACAGCAUAUCAAAAAGAUAAUCCACCAUGACCAGGUGGGUUUCAUACCAGGGAUGAGGAUGGUUUAAUAUAUGUAAAUCAAUAAAUGUGUUAUACCACAUAAACAGAAUUGAAAGCAAAAAUCACAUGAUCAUCUCAAUAGAUGCAGAAAAAGCAUCUGAUAAAAAUUCAGCACCUCUUUAUGACUAAAACCCGCAGCAAAAUCAGCAUAGAAGGGACAUACCUUAAUGUAAUAAAAGCCAUCUUCAACAAACCCACAGCCAACAUUAUACUUAACAGGGAAAAGUUGAAAGCAUUCCCCCUGUGAACUGGAACAAGACAAGCAUGCCUACUUUCACCACUUCUAUUCAACAUAGUACCGGAAGUCCUAGCAAGAGCAAUCAGACAAGAGAAAAAAAUAAAGCACAUCCAAAUCAGCAAGGAGGAAGUCAAACUGUCACCGUUUGCUGAUGAUAUGAUCAUAUACCUAGAGAACCCUAAAGAUUCAUCCAAAAAGCUCCUAAAACUGGUAAAUGAAUUCAGCAAAGUUUUAGGGUACAAAAUUAAUAC